rnacentral:rRNA from 1 species
CAGCCGCCGCGGGAAUACGGAGGAUCCAAGCGUUAUCCGGAAUCAUUGGGUUUAAAGGGUCCGUAGGCGGUCUUGUAAGUCAGUGGUGAAAGCCCAUCGCUCAACGGUGGAACGGCCAUUGAUACUGCAGGACUUGAAUUAUUGGGAAGUAACUAGAAUAUGUAGUGUAGCGGUGAAAUGCUUAGAGAUUACAUGGAAUACCAAUUGCGAAGGCAGGUUACUACCAAUUGAUUGACGCUGAUGGACGAAAGCGUGGGUAGCGAACAGGAUUAGAUACCCCUGUAGUCCCUGUCUCUUAUAU